rnacentral:rRNA from 1 species
CAGUCGAACGGAGCUUAAAGAGCUUGCUUUUUAAGCUUAGUGGCGAACGGGUGAGUAACGCGUGAGUAACCUGCCCUAGAGUGGGGGACAACAGUUGGAAACGACUGCUAAUACCGCAUAAGCCCACGGUGCCGCAUGGCACUGAGGGAAAAGGAUUUAUUCGCUUUAGGAUGGACUCGCGUCCAAUUAGCUAGUUGGUGAGGUAACGGCCCACCAAGGCGACGAUUGGUAGCCGGACUGAGAGGUUGAACGGCCACAUUGGGACUGAGACACGGCCCAGACUCCUACGGGAGGCAGCAGUGGGGGAUAUUGCACAAUGGGGGAAACCCUGAUGCAGCGACGCCGCGUGGAGGAAGAAGGUUUUCGGAUUGUAAACUCCUGUCGUUAGGGACGAUAAUGACGGUACCUAACAAGAAAGCACCGGCUAACUACGUGCCAGCAGCCGCGGUGAAACGUAGGGCGCAAGCGUUGUCCGGAAUUACUGGGUGUAAAGGGAGCGCAGGCGGGAAGACAAGUUGGAAGUGAAAACCAUGGGCUCAACCCAUGAAUUGCUUUCAAAACUGUUUUUCUUGAGUAGUGCAGAGGUAGAUGGAAUUCCCGGUGUAGCGGUGGAAUGCGUAGAUAUCGGGAGGAACACCAGUGGCGAAGGCGGUCUACUGGGCACCAACUGACGCUGAGGCUCGAAAGCAUGGGUAGCAAACAGGAUUAGAUACCCUGGUAGUCCAUGCCGUAAACGAUGAUUACUAG